rnacentral:rRNA from 1 species
ACGGGAGGCAGCAGUGGGGGAUAUUGCACAAUGGGGGAAACCCUGAUGCAGCGACGCCGCGUGAGCGAUGAAGUAUUUCGGUAUGUAAAGCUCUAUCAGCACGGAAGAAAAUGACGGUACCUGACUAAGAAGCACCGGCUAAAUACGUGCCAGCAGCCGCGGUAAUACGUAUGGUGCAAGCGUUAUCCGGAUUUACUGGGUGUAAAGGGAGCGUGGACGGCAUAGCAAGCCAGAUGUGAAAUGCGGGGGCUCAACCCCUGAACUGCAUUUGGAACUGUUAAGCUAGAGUAUCGGAGAGGUAAGUGGAAUUCCUAGUGCAGCGGUGAAAUGCGUAGAUAUUAGGAGGAACAUCGGUGGCGAAGGCGGCUUACUGGGCUUUUACUGACGCUGAGGCUCGAAAGCGUGGGGAGCAAACAGGAUUAGAUACCCUGGUA